GAUGCAGCAGGGAUUGAUUUAGUAGAUCUAGUGAAGGCCCGCUAAAUUGAAGGUAGAGCACUCCCCGGUCAACCCUGGUACUCCAGCUGUCCGAGAAGAGUAAGGGAAGUUGACCAGAGAGCGUCUCCCGUCGACACAGCACAGUGAAGACACCGGCGUAAUGAGACACACUUAA